rnacentral:piRNA from 1 species
UUGUACCUAAGAUGGUUGGUUAACAAC